GCGGUAUGCUUAACACAUGCAAGUCGAACGGUAGCAGGCCUUCGGGCGCUGACGAGUGGCGGACGGGUGAGUAAUGCAUAGGAAUCUGCCUAUUAGUGGGGGAUAACGUGGGGAAACUCACGCUAAUACCGCAUACGACCUACGGGUGAAAGCUGGGGACCUUCGGGCCUGGCGCUAAUAGAUGAGCCUAUGUUGGAUUAGCUAGUUGGUAGGGUAAAGGCCUACCAAGGCGACGAUCCAUAGCUGGUCUGAGAGGAUGAUCAGCCACACUGGGACUGAGACACGGCCCAGACUCCUACGGGAGGCAGCAGUGGGGAAUAUUGGACAAUGGGCGAAAGCCUGAUCCAGCAAUACCGCGUGUGUGAAGAAAGCCUGAGGGUUGUAAAGCACUUUCAAUGGGAAGGAAUACCUACCGGUUAAUACCCGGUAGACUGACAUUACCCAUACAAGAAGCACCGGCUAACUCCGUGCCA
rnacentral:rRNA from 1 species